rnacentral:rRNA from 1 species
AGUCAAUAGAUACCCAGGUAGUCCACGCCGUAAACGAUGUCGACUUGGAGGUUGUGCCCUUGAGGCGUGGCUUCCGGAGCUAGCGCGUUAAGUCGACCGCCUGGGGAGUACGGCCGCAAGGUUAAAACUCAAAUGAAUUGACGGGGGCCCGCACAAGCGGUGGAGCAUGUGGCUUAAUUCGAUGCAACGCGAAGAACCUUACCUACUCUUGACAUCCAGAGAACUUAGCAGAGAUGCUUUGGUGCCUUCGGGAACCCUGAGACAGGUGCUGCAUGGCUGUCGUCAGCUCGUGUUGUGAAAUGUUGGGUUAAGUCCCGCAACGAGCGCAACCCUUAUCCUUUGUUGCCAGCGGUCCGGCCGGGAACUCAAAGGAGACUGCCAGUGAUAAACUGGAGGAAGGUGGGGAUGACGUCAAGUCAUCAUGGCCCUUACGAGUAGGGCUACACACGUGCUACAAUGGCGCAUACAAAGAGAAGCGACCUCGCGAGAGCAAGCGGACCUCAUAAAGUGCGUCGUAGUCCGGAUU